GUCUACAGACAAGCUACCCUGAACAAGCCCGAUCCCGUCUGAUCUCUGAAGCUAAGCAGAGUCAGGCCUGUUUAGUACUUGGAUGAGAGACCACCUAGUAAGACCAGGUGCUGUAGGAG
rnacentral:rRNA from 1 species